rnacentral:rRNA from 1 species
UACGUAGGGUGCAAGCGUUGUCCGGAAUUAUUGGGCGUAAAGAGCUCGUAGGCGGUCUGUCGCGUCGAAUGUGAAAACCCGGGGGCUCAACCCCCGGGCCUGCAUUCGAUACGGGCAGACUAGAGUUCGGUAGGGGAGUCUGGAAUUCCUGGUGUGAGCGGUGGAAAUGCGCAGAUAGUCAGGAGGAACACCGGUGGCGAAGGCGGGACUCUGGGCCGAUACUGACGCUGAGGAGCGAAAGCGUGGGGAGCAAACAGG